rnacentral:rRNA from 1 species
GAUUUCUGGUUUGGUGCGCGCGGUCCGCUGCGGUUUCGUAGCGUGUGCUGUUGUGCGCCUGCCAUCGUUUGAGGCAGGGGCGUGCUCUUCACUGGGUGCGUCUUUAUCUCAAUCUUUUACUUUGAAAAAAUUAGAGUGUUUAAAGCAGGCUUUUGCUAUGAAUACAUUAGCAUGGAAUAAUAAUCUAGGACUUCGGUUCUAUUUUGUUGGUUUCUAUAACUGAAGUAAUGAUUGAUAGGGAUAGUUGGGGGUGCUAGUAUUGGCCGGCCAGAGGUGAAAUUCUUGGAUUCGGUCAAGACUAACUUAUGCGAAAGCAUU